AUGGAGUCUCGCUCUGUCACCCAGGCUGGAGUACAGUGGCAAGAUCUCGACUCACUGCAACCUCUGCCUGCCGGGUUCAAGCAAUUCUCCUGGCUCAGCCUCCCAAGUAGCUGGGAUUACAGUGUACCACACCAAGGAACUCCCACACUCUGAAUGAACAGCCCAGUGAUCAGGAGCUUUGAAUCAAUUCUUGGCACCUAACAGUUUGUGAAGAGUCUGCUAAACUCCCUCUAUCAGAAAUCCCAGAGGACUGAGAACAGGUCAUCCUUGGAGCUGUAUCUGAAUGGAGUCAGGAUCUGGAAGCCCAAGUCUCCUUGUCAAUGUCUGCUUGGUUCCCAAGGACACCUGUAAAUGGAAGAGGGGCAUAGUACACAGAAGACAUUGCUGGCAAGUGUGGUCUCUUUACGAUCAGGUGAGUCAUCUGCUGAAAUCUUUAUAAUAGACUUCUACCUUGAUGGAAUGGGUUGGACUAACGAGGAACCACCAUUACUCCAAGGCCCAGAGCAGAGCUGGGCCAUCAACUGUCUCCACACUUCCUGUCUUCUAGGUGCCACCCUGAUCCCUCAUUGCCUUUCAGCUGCAUGUCUAAAUCCCCACCCCACCCCUCAUCUAGUUGGCUUUGAUUCCAAGGACCUAGGACUGGAGUAGGGCUUUCACAAAUAAGACAGCAGGAAUGUAAUGCAACCUAAUGAGCAGACUAAGAAAGCAUCUAUACAGAAGAACAGACAUACAAAUACCAAGGCAGAUAAGAGUGACAAAAGACAAAAAAAAAAAAAAAAAAAAGAGAGAGAGAGAGAAAAAGCUGAAGCCGGUCAGAAUUCAUCAGGGGAUGGUGUAUGUCUACCACCUCAGUGGUCCUUUAAAGGUAAACGGGCUUAUUUUUCAUGCACCAGCCUAUGGUCCCUUCACUGGGACACUCUCAACAUCCCCGGCUUUUUAUAACUCUGGCUGGAAAGGUCAGCUCUGAACUCUUCCUGGGCAGGGAAAGGAGUUCACAUAGGGAUUGGGGAUGGAGUACGGGAGCAGAGGAGCAGUGCCUAUGUUAGAAACCGGUAGGAAGGCCGGGCGCGGUGGCUUGCGCCUGUAAUCCCACCACUUUGAGAGGCUGAGGUGGGUGGAUCAACUGAGGUCAGGAGUUUGAGACCAGCCUGACCAAUAUGGUGAAACCUCAUCUCUACUAAAAAUAUAAAAAUUAGCUGGGCGUGGUGGCAUGUGCCUGUAGUCCCAGCAGCUGGGCAGGAGAAUUGCUUGAACCCAGGAGGUGGAGGUUGCCGUGGGGCAAGAUCGUGCCACUGCACUCCAGCCUGGGUGACAGAGGAAAACUCUGGUUUCAGAAAAAAAUAAAAUAAAAUAAAAUAAAAUAAAAGCAGCAGCAGCAGCUGGUAGGAGCUGGAUGCCUGGAAGAAUAAAGAGCCUUUCUCCCUUAGGAGUGAGCCUAAUAGAUGGAUCUUUACUCCCUUUCUCCUGGGCCCUCUACUGGUCUUUGCUUCUCCCAUUUUUCACAUUCUGACUGCAUAUACAUACAUGGCAAUAUAUAGAGAAUUUGGCCCCUUGACUCUCACCAGAAGCACCCCCCCAGCCCCAUGACUCUGAUUUCUUCAAUGACAUACGUUAAGUACUUUUUCUCCAAAGGUGAAAUGAUCCUAGGCUUUCUCAAGGGCAAUGAUUCUGAGCCUUACCCACAUUUUAGAAUCAGCUUAGGAAACACAAAAAAAUCUCAAUGACCAGGCAGCACCCCCAAGCCAAUCAAGUAAGAAUCUGGGGUGUAAGACUCAGACAUGAGUAUAUUUUUUUAAAUUGUUUAUUUUUAUGGGGACCUAGCAGGUAUCUAUAUUUAUGGGAUAUGUGAGCAAUUUGGAUACAGGCAAACAAUAUAUAAUAAUCACAUUGGGGGAAAUGGGGUGUCCAUCACCUCACGCAUUUCUCAUGUCUUUGUAUUACAAACAUUCCAAUUAUGCUUUUAGUUAUUUUUAAGUGUACAAUGAAUUUUUUUUUACUUUAGCCACAGAUCUAGGUACAUUUUUAAACUCCCCAAAUGAUUCUAAUAUGCAGUCAAGGCUGAGCCAGCUGCCCUGGAGAUGGUCCAUCCCUUUUCAGGCCUCGCUGCACAUCAGACUCAUCUGAGGAACUUUUAAAACCACUGUUGCCUGUGCCCCACCCAAACCAAUUAAAAUCACUGUCUCUGGGGACUACAGCCAAGAUAUCAGUAUGAUUCUUUUUGUGUGUGCGAUAAACUAUAUAUAACAUAAAAUUUACCUUUGAACUAUUUUUGAGUGUGCAAAUCAGUGGCCUUAAGUCCGUUUGCAGUGUGUACAGCCAUCCCCAGAACUUCUUCAUCGUCUCAAACAGAAACUCUGUACCUAUUAAACAAUACCUCCCCAUUCCCUUCUCCCACUAGCCCCUGGCAAUCACUUUUCUACUUCCUGUCUCUAUGAAUUUGACCAUGUGAAGUACCUCCUAUAAGCAAAGUUGUACAAUAUUUGUCCUUUUGUGUCUUAUUUCACUUAGCACAAACUUUCUAGGUUUAUCCAUGCUGAGCAUGUAUAAGAAUAUCAUUCCUUUUUUAUGGGCCAGACAUAGUGGCUCAUGCCUGUCAUCCCAGGAGUGGGAGGGAUCAUACGCCGUUGGGAGACCGAGGUGGGAGGAUGGUUUGAGCACAGGAGGGGUUCAAGACUAGCCUGGGCAACAAAGGGAGACCCUAUCUCCAAAAAUAUAGAAGAAGCUGGGCACGGUGGUUCACGCCUGUAAUCCCUGCACUUUGGAAGGCCGAAGUGGGCUGAUCACUUCAGGCCACGAAUUUGAGACCAGCCUGGCCAACGUGGCGAAACCCCCUCUCUACUGAAAAAUACAAAAAUCCUCUGGGUAUGGUGGUGCACGUCUGUAAUUCCAGCUGCUCUGGAGGCUGAGGCACGAGAAUUGCUUGAACCUGGGAGGCGGAGGGUGCAGUCAGUCGAGGUGGCGCCACUGCACUCGAGCCUGGGAGACAGAGUGAGACCCUGUCUCAAAACAAAAAUAAAACAAAAAAUAAAAACAA
rnacentral:lncRNA from 1 species